GACGAACGCUGGCGGCGCGCUUAACACAUGCAAGUCGAGCGAGAACCAGCCCUUCGGGGCUGGGGAAAGCGGCGAACGGGUGAGUAACACGUGGGUAAUCUGCCCUCGGCACCGGAAUAGCCCGGGAAACCCGGAUUAAUGCCGGAUGGCCUCUCGAGCUCUCGAGCUCGUGAGAAAAGGUAGCUUCGGCCUCCGGCCGAGGAUGAGCCCGCGGUCGAUUAGCUUGUUGGUGAGGUAAUGGCUCACCAAGGCGACGAUCGAUAGCUGGUCUGAGAGGACGAUCAGCCACACUGGGACUGAGACACGGCCCAGACUCCUACGGGAGGCAGCAGUGGGGAAUCUUGCGCAAUGGGCGAAAGCCUGACGCAGCGACGCCGUGUGCGGGAAGAAGGCU
rnacentral:rRNA from 1 species